ACCGCCUUGCAGAAGGAAAACAGAAAGCUAAGCCCCAGGUAGGAGUGGAGUUCUGGAAAGUCUGCAGUGCAGAGCACCAGACCCUGGGAAAAUCUACAGCACACUUAAAAACAAAAAACCCAAAAGGGCACCUCAUGUCCCAGAUUACCAGUUACCAAAAAGCCCUGCGAUUGAUAGAAGACAUAGUUUCUGGUGCCAGAGAGAACAUCUAGAAAUGCGGAACUGAAUCCAUGUGGACCAUCAGCAUUGCUUUCGAGAAGGAUUCCUGCCUUUAUGUCAUUUGCUUGUUUGUUACCUGCCAGGGGUGAAGUGGCCAAGCAGUUCUGGUCCCACGUGCUUUUUAGGUUGCCGGACAGUGAAUAAACUGAGCAGCGCGGCUCCGAAUGCUGGAAGAAACUCCAGCAGAAUAAUUUGCCAGGGGAAGGCGCGCAGAGUGGCAAUUGCUCACGGCACAUCUGAAUGGCGACGGCUCCUGGGAAAACAAGCUCCCUGACAACGCACUGGCCCACCGGCCUCUCUCCACCGCUCACCCCAGCGCUAAGGAGGGCUCUGCUACAGAGGAAGGCUGAACGCUCUGGCCCCGAGGUCACGGGGCUAAACCCCAUCUCCUAGCCCCUUGAUGUCAGGUGGUCCUCUGUGACUGAAUUCUGGCCCAUGGAAUGUGGGUGGAGAUGAGACCCACCAUUUCUACUCCUGGCUGGCAAAAAUCUCCCACACAAGAUUCUCCUUCCCUGGAAGGCUUGGGCCAGAAAUUAAAGAUGGCUGCCUCGAAAGACGACGGGUCCGCGUGUCCAGAUGACUCUGGUGCGGGGUAGGGAUUGCAUUGUGCUCUGAUGGGAUCAAAUGAUUUUGGUGCUUGAGCCGGUGAGAUUUGGGGGAUGUUUGUCACAGUUACCCUGAAUGAUACUGCAAUGGAUACCAAACAUGGGAUUUGAAUCCACAUGGGCAUACGGUGAGUCAAUCAGCUGCAACUCAGCAAACUGUACUAGGAGCCAGCCCACUUUUGUCCGUAUUUUCCAUAAGGACAUGC